GCCGGUGUGGCGGAAUUGGCAGACGCGCGCGACUCAAAAUCGCGUUCCCUAAAGGAGUGGGGGUUCGAGUCCCUUCACCGGCA
rnacentral:tRNA from 1 species